AUAAGACGAGAAGACCCUGUGGAGCUUCCAAACAUUUACAUCGAAUAAUAAUUAUUUACGAUGUACAGUUUUAGGUUGGGGCAACCACGG
rnacentral:rRNA from 1 species